rnacentral:rRNA from 1 species
UACGUAGGGUGCGAGCGUUGUCCGGAAUUAUUGGGCGUAAAGAGCUUGUAGGCGGUUUGUCGCGUCUGCUGUGAAAGUCCGGGGCUCAACCUCGGAUCGGCCGUGGCGACUCGUGGGCUGGAGCACUGUAGAGGCGGGUGGAAUUCCGGGUGUAGCGGUGGAAUGCGUAGAGAUCCGGAAGAACACCAGUGGCGAAGGCGGCCCGCUGGGCAGUGGCUGACGCUGAGGCGCGACAGCGUGGGGAGCAAACAGG